rnacentral:rRNA from 1 species
GAUGAACGCUGGCGGCGUGCCUAAUACAUGCAAGUCGAGCGAACGGACGAGAAGCUUGCUUCUCUGAUGUUAGCGGCGGACGGGUGAGUAACACGUGGAUAACCUACCUAUAAGACUGGGAUAACUUCGGGAAACCGGAGCUAAUACCGGAUAAUAUUUUGAACCGCAUGGUUCAAAAGUGAAAGACGGUCUUGCUGUCACUUAUAGAUGGAUCCGCGCUGCAUUAGCUAGUUGGUAAGGUAACGGCUUACCAAGGCAACGAUGCAUAGCCGACCUGAGAGGGUGAUCGGCCACACUGGAACUGAGACACGGUCUAGACUCCUACGGGAGGCAGCAGUAGGGAAUCUUCCGCAAUGGGCGAAAGCCUGACGGAGCAACGCCGCGUGAGUGAUGAAGGUCUUCGGAUCGUAAAACUCUGUUAUUAGGGAAGAACAUAUGUGUAAGUAACUGUGCACAUCUUGACGGUACCUAAUCAGAAAGCCACGGCUAACUACGCG